UUGGGGCCGUUGGCGGGGCGGCGGCGGGGCUGCGGGGUCUGCGGGGUGCGGCUGCCGUGCGGGGUGGUCCGCGGCGGGACGCUGCUGAGGGGAGUGCUGAGCCUCUCCCGGCGCAGCCCUCCGCCGCCACCAGAAGGGGAACGGGGGAGAAAAGCAACCGGUGGAGAGCCGGGGCCGUGAGCUCUCCCUCGGAGCGAGGAGGGGUGUCCGUGGGGCAGCUCCCCAGCGCUGCCUGCCCCGCUGCUGUCCUCGCAGCCCUCGCUGGGCUCUGCGUUUGGAAAACGCACGGAAUAGGGAAUGGUAAAUCUGCACUCAGUCUACUGAAGACUUAGGGAGAGUGAAGUUAGGUGAGCAACUGCUGCCCCUCCGAGCAGUUCGGGCACACACACGCUGACAGAAGUCAUCUGUCCGAAAACCCCUCGCAAAUUUGGAAAGAUUUUCCCAGGCAUUUAUGAAACACGCUCAGUGACCUUGAGCACACAUUCCUGGAUCUGACAUAUUAGAGAAGAUGAAUAUUCAUUCGCCUAAAUGAUAUUUUCAUACAUGUUACUCAUUACUAUACGGUCAAUAAACAUUUUGAUACAAUGA